rnacentral:tRNA from 1 species
GGUGGGGUGGCCGAGCGGUUUAAGGCAGUAGUCUUGAAAACUACCGAAGGUUAACGCCUUCCGUGGGUUCGAAUCCCACCCCCACCGCCA